AUUGAACGCUGGCGGCAGGCCUAACACAUGCAAGUCGAGCGGCAGCACAGUAAUAGCUCGCGGUUUCGGGGGCCGAGUGGCGGGUGAGGCAUAGGAAUCUGGGUGGCUAUGUGGGCUAACGUGCGAACGCGGGCGAUCAUACCGCAUACGCGCAUAGGGCCUAAGGGGGGGAGCAUCGGAUCUUACGAUAUCGGGUGAGCCUAUGUGGGAUUAGCUAGUUGGCGGGGUAAAGGCCUACCAAGGCGACGAUCCGUAGCUGGUCUGAGAGGAUGAUCAGCCACACUGGAACUGAGACACGGUCCAGACUCCUACGGGAGGCAGCAGUGGGGAAUAUUGGACAAUGGGCGCAAGCCUGAUCCAGCCAUACCGCGUGGGUGAAGAAGGCCUUCGGGUUGUAAAGCCCUUUUGUUGGGAAAGAAAAGCAGUAGGUUAAUACCCCGCUGUUUUGACGGUACCCAAAGAAUAAGCACCGGCUAACUUCGUG
rnacentral:rRNA from 1 species